rnacentral:rRNA from 1 species
CCUACGGGUGGCUGCAGUCGAGAAUAUUUCGCAAUGGGGGAAACCCUGACGAUGCGACGCCGCGUGGGGGAUGAAGGCCUUCGGGUCGUAAACCUCUGUGUUACGGGAUGAAUUGAGCGUUGCUGAUAACGCAGCGUUUUUGACGUUACCGUAGUAGAAAGCCCCAGCUAACUACGUGCCAGCAGCUGCGGUAAUACGUAGGGGGCAAGCGUUGUCCGGAAUCACUGGGCGUAAAGCGCGCGCAGGCGGUGGAGUAAGUCAGACGUGAAAGGGUUCGGCUCAACCGAGCCAUUGCGUUUGAUACUGCCUCACUUGAGUCUAGAAGAGGAAAGUGGAAUGUAUGGUGUAGCGGUGGAAUGCUUAGAUAUCAUAUAGAACACCCGUGGCGAAGGCGGCUUUCUGGUCUAAGACUGACGCUCAUGCGCGAAAGUUUGGGGAGCAACCGGGAUUAGAAACCCCGG